rnacentral:misc_RNA from 1 species
GCGAGUAUGGCCCUCACGGGUCUAAUCCACCAUAACACCCUUUGUGAACCAGUCAGUGGGGACUCGGCCGUGAAAGCCCAGGCGAUUAGCGGAAGGGCCCUCCUUUGCAAACCCGUUUAGAAGUCUUGAAAGUACUUUUGUAUAAUCUAGUA